CUGCAGAGCAGCGUAUAGUGAGCGUGCCAGAUCCCUGCCAGCAGCAGCAGCAGCAUAUAUCACACUGACAGCGUGCAGGAUGUCCUAUGAAGCUCUCUGUAGCAGCACAGCCCACAUCCCAGGCAGCAGUCUCCUAUCCUACAGACGUAAACCAUGUUACCACGGUAACGGACGGGGGGAGGUGACGUCAUUUGUGGGCGUCAGACUUCCUGGUUCCGGACGCCGCGGCUAGCGUUACACAUGGUGGGGAUAUAAGGGUGUAGCAAGUACUGCAGCUUCCAGCACCCAGCAUGUACUCUUACAUUUUACAGCUCCAAGCAAGUACCCCUAAAGUUAUCAGCAUGCAACAUGUUUAUACUCCAUCAGUUAUGUGACCUUUGUUUUACAGAAACAAAUCGCUUUGGAACCACAAACCCUAUGUUAUCCAUUCUAUAAUCUGAAAUAUGUAUUACAUUAAACCCAAGCAAUAUUAAUUUCUUGUAUUAAAGUGAAAGAUAAUUAUUCCUU